GAGACGCUGGCGGCGCGCUUAACACAUGCAAGUCGUGCGGUGUCGAAGGCAAGUCUUACGACAAGCCUUCGACACAGCGGCGAACGGGUGAGUAACACGUGAGUAGCUGUCCUAAGGAGGGGGAUAACGCCUGGAAACGGGUGCUAAUACCCCAUAUGCCUCGCAAGAGGUGAAAGUGUACUUGCUACAGCCUUAGGGUGUGCUCGCGGCCUAUCAGCUAGUUGGUGAGGUAACGGCUCACCAAGGCUAAGACGGGUAGCCGGCCUGAGAGGGUGUACGGCCACACUGGAAUUGAGAUACGGUCCAGACUCCUACGGGAGGCAGCAGUGGGGAAUCUUGGGCAAUGGGCGAAAGCCUGACCCAGCGACGCCGCGUUGGGGAUGAAGCCCUUCGGGGCGUAAACCCAUGUUGUAGGGGACGAAGAAAGUGACGGUACUACCCGAGGAAGCCCCGGCUAACUACGUG
rnacentral:rRNA from 1 species